rnacentral:rRNA from 1 species
AGAGAUGUGUGAUGAUGCAUAUCAAUAAGCGGAGGAAAAGAAACUAACAAGGAUUCCCUUAGUAACGGCGAGUGAAGCGGGAAGAGCUCAAAUUUGAAAUCUUCAAGGGUUCUACCUUUACGAAUUGUAGUUUAUAGAAGUGUUUUCUGUUAGUGGAGUCGGCUAAGAGUUCUUUGGAAUAGGACAUCAUAGAGGGUGAGAAUCCCGUAUUUGGUCAUUCCUUCCUAGCUUUGUGAUACACUUUCAACGAGUCGGAUUGUUUGGGAAUGCAGUCCAAAAUGGGUGGUAAAUUUCAUCUAAAGCUAAAUAUUGGCGAGAGACCGAUAGCGAACAAGUACCGUGAGGGAAAGAUGAAAAGAACUUUGAAAAGAGAGUUAAACAGUACGUGAAAUUGUCAAAAGGGAAGCGUUUGACACCAGUGUUGUUUUUCCGAAAAUCAAUUACGAAUGUUUUAGUUUUUGAGAAGUUAUGACUUCAUCGGCUUGCUCUCUUCUUUAUGAAACUUUCUUAAUGCACUUUUCGGUUAACAAGUCAACAUCAAUUUCUUUUGUUGUAAAAGGGUAUGAGGAAGGUGGCUUUCUUUUCGGAGAAAGUGUUUAUAGCCUUGUAGCCUCUGCAAUCGGAGAGAUUGAGGUCUGCAGCGUAGAUCCUUCGGGGUUAGAUACAUUUGUGCUAAGUUAUAGCUUUUCAUAGACAACUUGUUGACUAUGUUAAGUCUUGUAGCUUACUCGCUUAUGCUAUUUUACCUACGCUAGGAUGUUGAAGUCAUCGUAUCGCGC